rnacentral:rRNA from 1 species
UACGGAGGGUGCGAGCGUUGUCCGGAAUCACUGGGCGUAAAGGGCGCGUAGGCGGCUCAUGAAGGCUGUGGUGAAAGUCCGGGGCUCAACCUCGGAUCGGCCGUGGCGACUCGUGGGCUGGAGCACUGUAGUGGCGGGUGGAAUUCCGGGUGUGGCGGUGGAAUGCGUAGAGAUCCGGAAGAACACCAGUGGCGAAGGCGGCCCGCUGGGCAGUGGCUGACGCUGAAGCGCGACAGCGUGGGGAGCAAACAGG